GGCCGGGUAGCCAAGUGGUAAGGCAAGGGCCUGCAAAGCCCCUACGCGCGGGUUCGAUUCCCGCCCCGGCCU
rnacentral:tRNA from 1 species